rnacentral:tRNA from 1 species
GGGGAUGUAGCUCAGUUGGGAGAGCGCUUGAAUGGCAUUCAAGAGGUCAGGGGUUCGAAUCCCCUCAUCUCCACCA